rnacentral:lncRNA from 1 species
CAGCCAGCGGCGGCAACAUUGUUUGCUACGUGGUACGACGUCACAGACUAAAAAGAAAAAAAGACUCGCUGGUGGCCUCGUAGAGCUGCAUAGGCCAAUGCCACCUUCCCAGCUACGACUAGAUUUUCUCACACGGCGACGGCGACGGCGCCGUGUGUGCACACACAAAGACAGCAGCAGAGGCUGUAAUGGUCGGUCCAGUCCGCCAGGUAGGAGAGGACCGGGGCCGCACAUGCAUAUGACGCGCUGGCCCGAAUCGUUAAUCCGCUAUCACUACUGCUAUAUUUAUUUGUGCUAAAGUAAAAAGGGUGGUGGUGGUAGUAGACCAGAGCAGAGCCGCCGGAAUGGCCACCCGGAAGCGAAGCACAGAGAGGCCGACAUGAGUGGAGAUGCGAGGAAACGUCCAUUAAUCCGGAUUAUAC